GAUGAACGCUAGCGGUAUGCUUAACACAUGCAAGUCGAACGCAAAAGCAAUUUUUAGUGGCAAACGGGUGAGUAACGCGUGAGAAUUCGUCUUUAAGAAGAGGAUAACAAUUAGAAAUAGUUGCUGAAACUCUAUAUGCCGAAAGGUGAAAAAAGCAAUUUGCUUAAAGAGAAGCUCGCGUCUGAUUAGCUAGUUGGGAGGGUGAAGGACUACCAAGGCGACGAUCAGUAACUGGUCUGAGAGGAUGAUCAGUCACACUGGAACAGAGACACGGUCCAGACUCCUACGGGAGGCAGCAAUGAGGAAUUUUCUGGAAUGGGCGAAAGCCUGAAAGAGCAAUACCGCGUGAAGGAUAAAGGCCUACGGGUUUUAAACAUCUUUUCUCAAGGAGGAAGAAAUGACGUUAUUUGAGGAAGAAGCAUCGGCUAACCCUGUGCCAGCAGCCGCGGUAA
rnacentral:rRNA from 1 species